rnacentral:rRNA from 1 species
UGGGUCUAAUACCGGAUAUUCACUUCCUUCCGCAUGGAGGGUGGUGGAAAGAUUUCAUCGGUGGGGGAUGGACUCGCGGCCUAUCAGCUUGUUGGUGGGGUAAUGGCCUACCAAGGCGACGACGGGUAGCCGGCCUGAGAGGGUGACCGGCCACACUGGGACUGAGACACGGCCCAGACUCCUACGGGAGGCAGCAGUGGGGAAUAUUGCACAAUGGGCGAAAGCCUGAUGCAGCGACGCCGCGUGAGGGAUGACGGCCUUCGGGUUGUAAACCUCUUUCAGUAGGGAAGAAGCGAAAGUGACGGUACCUGCAGAAGAAGCGCCGGCUAACUACGUGCCAGCAGCCGCGGUAAUACGUAGGGCGCAAGCGUUAUCCGGAAUUAUUGGGCGUAAAGAGCUCGUAGGCGGUUUGUCGCGUCUGCCGUGAAAGUCCGGGGCUCAACCCCGGAUCUGCGGUGGGUACGGGCAGACUAGAGUGAUGUAGGGGAGACUGGAAUUCCUGGUGUAGCGGUGAAAUGCGCAGAUAUCAGGAGGAACACCGAUGGC